UCCGAUAUGGUGUAGUGGCCAACAUGAUGCCCUCUCAUCUCCCAAUGAGAGGUUAGGCAUAGCCCCGAGUUCGAUUCUCGGUUUCGGAA
rnacentral:tRNA from 1 species